AGAAUCAACGCUGGCGGCGUGCCUAACACAUGCAAGUCGCACGAGAAAGGGACUUCGGUCUUGAGUAAAGUGGCGCACGGGUGAGUAACACGUGACUAAUCUACCCUCGAGUGGGGAAUAACUGAGAGAAAUCUUAGCUAAUACCGCAUAACACUUACGAGUCAAAGCAGCAAUGCGCUUGGGGAGGAGGUCGCGGCCGAUUAGCUAGUUGGCGGGGUAAUGGCCCACCAAGGCGAUGAUCGGUAUCCGGCCUGAGAGGGCGCACGGACACACUGGAACUGAAACACGGUCCAGACUCCUACGGGAGGCAGCAGUGGGGAAUUUUGCGCAAUGGGGGAAACCCUGACGCAGCAACGCCGCGUGGAGGAUGAAGUAUCUUGGUACGUAAACUCCUUUCGAUGGGGAAGAUAAUGACGGUACCCAUAGAAGAAGCCCCGGCUAACUUCGUGCCAGCAGCCGC
rnacentral:rRNA from 1 species